rnacentral:misc_RNA from 1 species
UUCUAUUGACCUCCUUUGAGAAAUGUAUUACCUUAUGGUGAGUCCCCUCUGGGGUGGUCUCUGACUAGCUUCGUGCGCUCAUCACUUAUUUCAAUGUUUACCGAGUUUAACUAUUUGACUAAAUUAU